GUCGAGCGCGCCUUCGGGUGAGCGGCGGACGGGUUAGUAACGCGUGGGAACGUACCCUUCUCUACGGAAUAGCCUUUGGAAACGAAGAGUAAUACCGUAUACGCCCUUUGGGGGAAAGAUUUAUCGGAGAAGGAUCGGCCCGCGUUAGAUUAGAUAGUUGGUGGGGUAACGGCCUACCAAGUCUACGAUCUAUAGCUGGUUUUAGAGGAUGAUCAGCAACACUGGGACUGAGACACGGCUCAGACUCCUACGGGAGGCAGCAGUGGGGAAUCUUAGACAAUGGGCGCAAGCCUGAUCUAGCCAUGCCGCGUGAGUGAUGAAGGCCUUAGGGUCGUAAAGCUCUUUCGCCUGUGAUGAUAAUGACAGUAGCAGGUAAAGAAACCCCGGCUACUCCGUGCCACAGCCCGCGGUAAU
rnacentral:rRNA from 1 species